rnacentral:rRNA from 1 species
AUUGAACGCUGGCGGCAUGCCUUACACAUGCAAGUCGAACGGUAACAGGUCUUCGGAUGCUGACGAGUGGCGAACGGGUGCGUAAUACAUCGGAACGUGCCCAGACGUGGGGGAUAACGAGGCGAAAGCUUUGCUAAUACCGCAUACGAUCUAAGGAUGAAAGCAGGGGACCGCAAGGCCUUGCGCGUUUGGAGCGGCCGAUGGCAGAUUAGGUAGUUGGUGGGAUAAAAGCUUACCAAGCCGACGAUCUGUAGCUGGUCUGAGAGGACGACCAGCCACACUGGGACUGAGACACGGCCCAGACUCCUACGGGAGGCAGCAGUGGGGAAUUUUGGACAAUGGGCGAAAGCCUGAUCCAGCAAUGCCGCGUGCAGGAUGAAGGCCUUCGGGUUGUAAACUGCUUUUGUACGGAACGAAAAGGCUCUGGCUAAUACCUGGGGCACAUGACGGUACCGUAAGAAUAAGCACCGGCUAACUACGU